CUCUACAGCCAUGCUACCCUGAACAUGCCUGAUCUCAUUUGAUCUUGGAAGCUAAGCAGGGUCGGGCCUGGUUAGUACUUGGGUGGGAGGAAUAAAGAGAGCAGGGGGCAAUGGGUG
rnacentral:rRNA from 1 species